ensembl:lncRNA
CAACAAAUACAUAAUUUAUUACUCCAAACGUCAUCAGAGCAUUUCAUAAAUACCACAGGACAUUAGAUCUUGGGACGUUAGCCCAACCAAAACAGUGACAAAAUCUUGCACAAAAUAUCUUGAAAAGAAACAUAUAGUAAACAUUGAACUGGUACAGCACUUCCAUUCAGACCACACAGCAAGUCCACCUACAGAUACAGAUAAGCCUAUUUGAUGUAUGAAGUGUGAUUGUGCCAAAAAACGGUCUCUAAUUGCACCCUAUUGCCUAUGUAGUGCACUACGUUUGAAGAGAGCCCUAUUGGCCCUGUAGGGAAUAGGGUGCCAUUUGGGAUGCAGGUUAAGAGUAUUUAGUCUGUGGUAGCAUAAACAUUAAUGACUAGACACUGGCAUAGGUACACAGUUAUGUACACUAAAACAACAACAACAAAUAAAACAGCUUCUAUUAUCUGAACAGCCAUCACUAGCCGUCUACCAGGGGAUGCACACUCACUGACACAAGCUAUCACACCCCUCAUACUCACAAAACACAUACACUCACACACACAGGCAUACAAGCAGCUGCCGGUGCUAUCCAGUGUUGUAAAUACAUUGAACCACUGGACGUUUCCCGUUUCACAUUGAGAAUUGAAAUACUGUACUCCCGACACAGCUCAUUCUGAUAUUUCUACUACUGUACUUUGUGUUUAGUUACACUGUUUUAUACACAUCGCAUAUUUAUUUAUACACCGGAUUCUUGACAUAGCUCAGUAAUAUCAGUGGUGAUAUUUUGAUACUGAAGUACCUUGUUAAAAAUACAUUAAAGUACUCCUUAAAAGUCGUUUUUGAGGUAUCUAUACUUUACUAUUUCUAUUUUUGACAACUUUUUUUUUAUUACUACAUUCCUAAAGAAAACAAUGUACUUUUUACUCCAUACAUUUUCCCUGACCCUCAAAUGUACCCGUUACAUUUUUUAUGCCUUGCAGGACAUAUUGUUCAAUUCAUGCAUUUAUCAAGAGAACAUCCCUGGUCUUCCCUGGUGCCUAUGAUCUGUCUGACUCACUAAACACACAUGCCUUGUUGGUAAAUUGUCUGAAUGUUGGAGUGUGUCCCUGGCUAACUGUGCAUUUUAAAAACAAGAAAAUGGUGCUGUCUGGUUUGCUUAAUAUAAGGAAUUUGAAAUGAUUUAUACUUUUUACUUUUGAUACUUAAGUAUAUUUCAGCAAUUACAUGUACAUUUGAUACUAAAGUAUAUUUUAGCAAUUACAUGUAUUUUUGAUACUGAAGUAUAUUUAAAACCAUAUACUUUUAGACUUUUAGUAGUAUUUUAAUUUAAUGAGUGACUGUCAAUUUUACUUGAGUCAUUUUCAAUUAAGGUAAAGUAUCUUUACUUUGACUCAAAUAUGACAACUGGGGACUUUUUCAACCACUGACUAAUAUACAGUAUGUACUGCUGCACAUAUCACUCUCAGUAGAUCUAGUGUAAAUCCUCCUGUGUAUAUACGUAUCGAUUGCAUCUGCAUUACUUUUACAGGGCAAUUUGGGUUGUUAAUUGUCCUGACUUUCUUGAUAUCUUUUUUUUGUUUAACUUUUUAAAAAUGUUUUAUUAUUAUUUGUGUACUUGUUCGACAUUUUACUGCAUUGUCAGAAACUAGAAAUGUACGUAAGCAUUUCAUAACAUCCGCUAAACUGUGGACACAAACUAUACACCUUGAUUUGUACCGUAGUGGAACCUGAUUCACCAACUUAGCAGUAGUUAAGUGUAUGAUGUCUAGCAGUUCAUGUUGGUACGUGUGUGUGUGUGUGUGUGUGUGUGUGUGUGUGUGUGUGUGUGUGUGUGUGUGUGUGUGUGUGUGUGUGUGUGUGUGUGUGGGUAUGUCUGGGUGGUCCUAAUGCCCCCCCAACCCCUACAUGGUGCUAGGCUGAAUGCUGCAGAGUCAGCUAGUUGGUUCUAGAAUCAUUGCACAUAAUGACAACGUCUCUCUCUCAGUUUGGCUGUCUAGAGACACAGAUUUUAUACUACACCACCUUAUUUAGGAAACACACACAGGGCCGGCCCUAGGCAUAAGAAACAUAGGCAACCAGUUUUUUGGGAACUCAGUCAGGGUCUCAGGUUAAUGUUGAGCGUUAGAACAGUACAAUAAACAUGGUGUAAUUUCGAAAUUUGGUUGUGCAUCUGGAGUUUUUGUGUAGAAAUGCAGGACAUUUGCUGUAAAAUUGCACAUUUAUCUCUCCACCCAAUGUCUCGAGGUGCAGCAAACGUGUUUAAUAAAAUAAUUCAAUGCCCUAUUGGCAAAAUGUGUAGAAUUGCAGUUAAUUAAAUUGCAUUUAAUUGACAAAAAAAUAAAUAAUAAUCUCUCCACUGUCAAGAGGGGAGCCACUAAAAUGUUUUGCCCGUGAGUUGGAAGAGGCCCAAAAGGCUAGGGCUGGCCCUGCAUGCAUGCACACAUGUGCACCCACACACACAUACACCAUGAUGAACUUUGACACACACAGAGCCAAGGUGCAUGGAGAGGUCAUGGCCAGGAGGAAGCAAGGUAGAUAAUCAAGGAGAGGACCAGGAGUGAGCAGAGUACAUGUCCAGGAGAGGACCAGGAGGGAGCAGAGUAGAUGUCCAGGAGAGGACCAGGAGGGAGCAGUGUAGAUGUCCAGGAGAGGACUCCGAAUUAACAGAGUAGAUGUCCAGGAGAGGACCAGGAGGGAGCAGAGUAGAUGUCCAGGAGAGGACCAGGAGGGAGCAGUGUAGAUGUCCAGGAGAGGACCAGGAGGGAGCAGUGUAGAUGUCCAGGAGAGGACCAGGAGGGAGCAGUGUAGAUGUCCAGGAGAGGACCAGGAGGGAGCAGAGUAGAUGUCCAGGAGAGGACCAGGAGGGAGCAGAGUAGAUGUCCAGGAGAGGACCAGGAGGGAGCAGUGUAGAUGUCCAGGAGAGGACCAGGAGGGAGCAGAGUAGAUGUCCAGGAGAGAACCAGGAGAGACCAGUGUAGAUGACCUGUUUAUGCUAGAUGUUCCUCUUUAGAAGCUUUUCUUUUUUUGACACAAAGACCACAGCAUUAAAGAAACGCACUGAAAUGUCCAAUACACACAGACAAACACAGAGCACACAUGCACGCUUUUACAGGGGAAUGCAUACCCUCUGGAUUUGCAUUUAUUCAAAUAUGGGUUCUUUAUGUCCAAGUCUAAAACCAUGUUUUCUUUUCAAUGUGUGGGUCUUUUCUGUAUAAUUUUCAGUUUUUGUAGGCUGCUGAUGCAAAUGUAGUGAGAUGGUCGGGUUACUAGAUUUGCACAUUCCACACAACAAUAAACAUUUAAAUAAUGAAUGCUUUUUAUAAUUUAUUUAUGAAUAAAAAAACUAAAUCCAAUAAAAAAACGGUGUUUAUUUGCUAUCACACAUUGACCCAUACUGACAUAUUUUUUGUGCUGCAGGGCUUUUGACAACAAUUGGCGCCGGCCAAAGCUACAGUACAGGACAAAGAGAUUCAUCCAAAAGAACAAAGUUCACAGAUUCAACACCAUCAGUUGACAACACUUGAGACGCAAAGCCACAACACACAGGCCACUAAAACUGUUUUAGACGGGUAGAAAACAGCCUGGCCAACAGUAGCUACAUUUAGCGUGGUUAUACUAUUGUCAUAGCACACUGUUGAUCACAAGACUGUUUACAGCUAGGGGAAGUGGUCGGGGCUAUGUGAAAAACAGCUAGGGGAAAUGGUCGGAGUUAUGUCUUAAACAGCUAGGGGAAAUGGUCGGAGUUAUGUCUUAAACAGCUAGGGGAAAUGGUCGGAGUUAUGUCUUAAACAGCUAGGGGAAGUGGUCGGGGUUAUGUCUUAAACAGCUAGGGGAAGUGGUCGGGGUUAUGUCUUAAACAGCUAGGGGAAGUGGUCGGGGUUAUGUCUUAAACAGCUAGGGGAAGUGGUUGGGGUUAUGUCUUAAACAGCUAGGGGAGGUGGUCGGGGUUAUGUCUUAAACAGCUAGGGGAAGUGGUCG